GCCAGGUGUGGUGGUGCAUGCCUGUAAUCCCAGUAGCUCAGGAGGCUGAGGCAGGAGGAUGAUAUAAUAUUCAAAGCCAGCCUCAG
rnacentral:sRNA from 1 species